CUAAACUCUUACUUUCAUGGUAUAGCUGAGAAGACAUUAACAUAGGAUAUGCUUUCACCAAGCACUAGUUUCCAACUUCUUUUGGAAGCUUGCUAUGUUGCAAUAUGAGAGGGGAGUUUGCAAGGAUUACCUUAAGUGGACAAAAAUGCCAUAAAAUAAGCUGUUUUCUUUCUUUUUUUCAAGCCUGAACAACUGAUAUUUCCGUCCCAUUUUUUCAUUUCUUAUUCUUUUGUUGAUGCUUAAAGCAUAUUUUGUUCACAGACAACCCAAUCCAUACAUCGGAAAUACCUCCAGAAGAUACUUAUCCACAGAAUCAAUCUGAAAUACAUCGGGGAAACAUUGAGGUAAAAUUGUUCAUCGCUAUUUUUUGUGUGUUUGCCAUAGCCUUGGAACUGCUGCUGUAAAUAUUCCUACUUGAAGUUAGCAGCAUUAGCUGAACAUUUAUAUCUCUCUACUCUACCGAUAUGGGUAGCAUUUCACUUUGUUGUCAUGCACGUAGCAUCAGGAAUGCCAUAAUUGGAAGAGUUGCAAUGAUUGUCACAUUUCCUGCAUAUGUGCAUACUUAUCUCAGUUUAUAGAAAUGACUUACUUCUUUGUUUGUCCUCUUUAUUUUUACAUAAUUGUCUUCUUUGGACUUUCAGAAACUGGCAAUUGAUACAAGGAAUUCGCUCUCCCCAAGCGAAGGCAAGGAACAGAGAGGAAAGAAAAAGAAGCAGCCAUCAAAGAGAGGAAAGAGAGUGGGAGGUUUGUACCUAUUAUACUUAUAUUCAGUAACUUGUGAUACAUGUGUGUUGCAGAAUUGUUUUGUCCUAAUAUCUGAUGAUAGCAAUUUGGCUGCAAUGGACUGUUCUUAGCUAUGGGAAUCACAUUCAUUUUUUCUCAAACUCGAAAUUACCAACAUUUGAAAACUUAGGAAAUAGCUGAUAAAACGUUAUCCUAAACAUUUUUAUUACAAGCUAAUAGUUUCCUUAUUCCUCUUAUCUGUACUCUUGCUCUCAUCUCUUAUCUACAAACUCAAUCAUGGCAUAGCAGCCAUUGCUAAGAAGACAUCACAAUAAGAUACUGUUUCGUCAAGUACUAGUAUCACACUUCUUUUGGAAACUUGUUAUUUUGUAAUAUCUCAGGGAGUUUGCAAGGAGUACCUUAAGGGGAGAAAUGCUACAAAAUAAGCUGUUUUUCUUUUCUUUUUCAAGCCUGAACAACUCAGAAUUUUUUCCCCAUUCUUUCGUUUCUUAUUCAUUUGUUGAGGUUUAAAGCAUAUUUUCUUCACAGACAAUACAACCCAUACAUUGGACAUACCUCCAGAAGAUACUUAUCCACACAAUCAAUCUGAAAUACAUCGUGG
rnacentral:lncRNA from 1 species